GGGGCUGAAUUUGCUUCGACGAGUGGACUUUAACAGGCUAAUUUGCGAGCAGUUGACAACUUUACAGUCGUUAUAGAUGCAAAAUCUAACUUUUUAGCGAAGGUCAAGAGCCUGUUCCAGGUUCCGACUUUUGCGCCAGUCGCCGCUUAAUUUUGGCGACCGUCGACGUUUCCGAUUCGGCAUAGGCAGCGUCGGUGUCAUAGUUUUGUCGAUAGUUUUGCCACAGAGCCGUAAUGUGGCACGAUGAAAAUCAUUUCGGACUCGCCAUGGUCGGCUUUGUUGGUGUCCAUGGAUUUUUGGCGAGGGAAUUUGAAACCAACUAGGCUUCGUAGAAAAUUAGUUCGUUACCAUUCGGACCCGGGCUCAAUGCCCGGCAGCUCCACCA
rnacentral:tmRNA from 1 species